rnacentral:rRNA from 1 species
AACUAUAACGGUCCUAAGGUAGCGAAAUUCCUUGUCAGGUAAGUUCUGACCCGCAUGAAAGGCGUAAUGAUUUGGGCACUGUCUCAACAGCCCGCCCGGCGAAAUUGUAGUACCGGUGAAGAUGCCGGUUACCCGCGACAAGACGGAAAGACCCCAUGGAGCUUUACUGUAGCCUAAUAUUGGGUUUCGAUGUUGCAUGCACAGGAUAGAUGGGACACUGGGAAGCAGGUGCUUUGGCGCUUGUGGAGUGGCCGUUGGGAUACCAUCCUUGCGAUAUUGGAAUUCUAACCUGCGCCUUUGAAUCAAGGCGGGGGACAUUGUUAGGUGGGCAGUUUGACUGGGGCGGUCGCCUCCUAAAGAGUAACGGAGGCGUUCAAAGGUUCGCUCAGCUUGAACGGAAAUCAAGCAAAAGAGUGCAAACGCAGAAGCGAGCCUAACUGCGAGACUGACGGGUCGAGCAGUAACGAAAGUUGGAGUUAGUGAUCCGGUGGUAUGUGAGUGGAAAUGCCAUCGCUCAACGGAUAAAAGUUACCCUGGGGAUAACAGGCUGAUCUCCCCCAAGAGUCCACAUCGACGGGGAGGUUUGGCACCUCGAUGUCGGCUCAUCGCAUCCUGGGGCUGUAUUCGGUCCCAAGGGUUUGGCUGUUCGCCAAUUAAAGCGGUACGCGAGCUGGGUUCAGAACGUCGUGAGACAGUUCGGUCCCUAUCUGUCGUGGGCGCAGGAUAUUUGAUGGGAGCUGUUCCUAGUACGAGAGGACCGGAGCGGACGUACCUCUGGCGCACCAGUUGUUCUGCCAAGAGCAUAGCUGGGCAACUAUGUACGGAUCGGAUAAACGCUGAAAGCAUCUAAGCGUGAAGCCGACCCAAAGAUAAGAUAUCCCAUUGUUUCAAACAAGUAAGACCCCUUGAAGACUACAAGGUUGAUAGGCACGAUGUGUAAGUGGAGCGAUCCAUUCAGCAAGCGUGUACUAAUAGGUCGAGGGCUUGACCAC